rfam:Aedes albopictus isolate Foshan contig67646, whole genome shotgun sequence.
UGCCCAGCAAAUCCUAUCCCUACCUCGUCGUGGUACCGGUCGGAAACUACGAGGAACUUUAGGGAAGA